AUUGAACGCUGGCGGCGUGCCUAACACAUGCAAGUCGAGCGGCAGCGCGGGAGCAAUCCUGGCGGCGAGCGGCGGACGGGUGAGUAAUGCUUGGGAAUCUGCCUGUUAGUGGGGGACAACCCGGGGAAACUCGGGCUAAUACCGCAUACGCACUACGGUGGAAAGCCGGGGACCGCAAGGCCUGGCGCUAACAGAUGAGCCCAAGUCGGAUUAGCUAGUUGGAGGGUAACGGCCUACCAAGGCGACGAUCCGUAACUGGUCUGAGAGGACGACCAGUCACACCGGAACUGAGACACGGUCCGGACUCCUACGGGAGGCAGCAGUGGGGAAUAUUGGACAAUGGGGGAAACCCUGAUCCAGCGACGCCGCGUGGGUGAAGAAGGCCUGCGGGUUGUAAAGCCCUUUCAGUGGGGAAGAAAAGCCUCGACCUAACACGUCGGGGUCUUGACGUACCAUAGAAGAAGCACCGGCUAACUCUGUGCCAGCCGCCGCGGUAAG
rnacentral:rRNA from 1 species